rnacentral:rRNA from 1 species
UACGUAGGGGGCAAGCGUUAUCCGGAUUUACUGGGUGUAAAGGGAGCGUAGACGGCGGGGCAAGUCUGGAGUGAAAGCCCGGGGCUCAACUCCGGGACUGCUUUUGAAACUGUUGAACUAGAUUGCAGGAGAGGUAAGUGGAAUUCCUAGUGUAGCGGUGAAAUGCGUAGAUAUUAGGAGGAACACCAGUGGCGAAGGCAGCAUGCCGGCUCCACACUGACGCUGAGGCACGAAAGCGUGGGUAUCGAACAGG